GCGUUCUCGAGAUGGCUGCUGGGCUCCGCUCCCAGGAGCGCCCUGGCUGAGGGCCUGCCGGCGGGCGCUAAGCGCCACCCCUGCGUCCCGGCGCUAGCACGGGCUAUGGGCCGCAGUGGCGGGCCGUGGCCCUGCGCACGCCGUCUCUCGGGGCGGGGCACCGGGCCCCUUCCGGGGAUGGGCCCCGGCGCCCGCGUCGGCCUGGCCGUGCCCGGCCCCUCCCCGCUCGGGCGGGCGCUGCGCCGCGUCCCCGCCCGUCAGUUCGCCCGGCUCGGCUGGCCGCAGAAGGGGCCUGAGCGGCGGCACUGAAAGUUCUACGCCUGGAGGCGUCGGGAGGCGUCGGCGCUGCAGCUGGCCCGCGACGGGAACGGGGCGAAAAGGCGGCGGCACCAUGUUCUCCCUCAAGGCCCCCAGACCCACCUUCAGGUCCUACCUCCUGCCGCCGCUCCAGACUGACGAUAAGAUCAGUUCGGAACCGAAGAUUAAAAAACUGGAGCCAGUCCUUUUGCCAGGAGAAAUUGUCGUAAAUGAAGUCAAUUUUGUGAGAAAAUGCAUCGCCACAGACACAAGCCAGUACGAUUUGUGGGGAAAGCUGAUAUGCAGUAACUUCAAAAUCUCCUUUAUUACAGAUGACCCAAUGCCAUUACAGAAAUUCCAUUACAGAAACCUUCUUCUUGGUGACCAUGAUGUCCCUUUAACAUGUAUUGAGCAAAUUGUCACAGUAAAUGACCACAAGAGGAAGCAGAAAGUCCUAGGCCCCAACCAGAAACUGAAAUUUAAUCCAACAGAGUUAAUUAUUUAUUGUAAAGACUUCAGAAUUGUCAGAUUUCGCUUUGAUGAAUCAGGUCCCGAAAGUGCUAAAAAGGUAUGCCUUGCAAUAGCUCAUUAUUCCCAGCCAACAGACCUCCAGCUACUCUUUGCAUUUGAAUAUGUUGGGAAAAAAUACCACAAUUCAGCCAACAAAAUUAAUGGAAUUCCCUCAGGAGAUGGAGGAGGAGGAGGAGGAGGAGGAGGAGGAGAAGGUAAUGGAGGUGGUGGUGACAGCAGCCAGAAAACUCCACUCUUUGAAAUUUACUCAGAUUGGGACAGAGAAAUCAAGAGGACAGCUGCUUCCGGGUGGAGAGUUUGUUCUAUUAACGAAGGUUACAUGAUAUCCACUUGCCUUCCAGAAUACUUCGUAGUACCAAGUUCUUUAGCAGACCAAGAUCUAAAGAUCUUUUCCCAUUCCUUUGUUGGGAGAAGGAUGCCACUCUGGUGCUGGAGCCACUCUAACGGCAGUGCUCUCGUGCGAAUGGCCCUCAUCAAAGAUGCUCUGCAGCAGAGGAGGAUUGACCAGAGGAUUUGUAAUGCAAUAACUAAAAGUCACCCACAGAGGAGUGAUGUUUACAAGUCAGAUUUGGAUAAGACCUUGCCUAAUAUUCAAGAAGUACAGGCAGCAUUUGUAAAACUGAAGCAGCUAUGCGUUAAUGAGCCAUUUGAAGAAACUGAAGAGAAAUGGUUAUCUUCACUGGAAAAUACUCGAUGGUUAGAGUACAUAAGGGCCUUCCUUAAGCAUUCAGCAGAACUCGUAUACAUGCUGGAAAGCAAACAUGUCUCUGUAGUCCUGCAAGAGGAGGAAGGAAGAGACUUGAGCUGUUUAGUCGCUUCUCUUGUUCAAGUGAUGCUGGAUCCCUAUUUUAGGACAAUUGUUGGAUUUCAGAGUCUGAUACAAAAGGAGUGGGUCAUGGCAGGAUAUCAAUUCCUAGACAGAUGCAACCAUCUGAAGAGAUCAGAGAAAGAGUCUCCUUUAUUUUUGCUAUUCUUGGAUGCUACCUGGCAGCUGUUGGAACAGUACCCUGCAGCGUUCGAGUUCUCAGAAGCUUACCUGGCAGUGCUGUAUGACAGCACCCGGAUCUCACUGUUCGGCACCUUCCUGUUCAACUCCCCUCACCAGCGAGUGAAGCAAAGCACGGAAUUUGCAAUAAGCAAAAAUAUCCAGUUGGGUGAUGAGAAGGGCUUAAGAUUCCCCUCUGUUUGGGACUGGUCACUCCAGUUUACAGCAAAGGACCGCACCCUUUUCCAUAACCCCUUCUACAUUGGAAAGAGCACACCUUGUGUACAGAACGGCUCCAUGAAGUCUUUUAAACGGACAAAGAAAAGCUACAGCUCCACACUAAGAGGAAUGCCGUCUUCCUUAAAGAAUGGAAUCAUCAGUGACCAAGAAUUACUUCCAAGGAGAAAUUCACUGAUAUUAAAACUAAAGCCAGAUCCACCUCAGCAAACCAACAGCCAGAACAGUGAUAUGGAGCAGUAUUUUAGAGAAUGGUUUUCCAAGCCAGUUGACCUGCACGCUGUUAUUCUGCCACGUGUCUCUGGAACACACUUAAAACUGUGGAAACUGUGCUACUUCCGCUGGGUUCCCGAGGCCCAGAUCAGCCUAGGCGGCCCCAUCACAGCCUUUCACAAGCUCUCCGUCCUGGCCGAUGAAGUCGAUGUGCUGAGCAGGAUGCUGCGGCAGCAGUGCAGUGGCCCCCUAGAGGCCUGCUAUGGGGAGCUGGGCCAGAGCAGGAUGUACUUCAGAGCCAGUAGCCCCAACGACGCCUCAGGGACGCCAGAGUUUCUCUCCUCCUCAUUCCCAUUUUCUCCUGUAGGGAAUCUGUGCAGACGAAGCAUUUUAGGAACGCCAUUAAGCAAAUUUUUAAGUGGGGCCAAAAUAUGGUUGUCUACUGAGACGUUAGCAAAUGAAGACUAAAAUAGGAUGUUUUCUGAACAUUUUGAGGGAAGCCGUAAACUUUUUUCCUCCAGAUUCAAAUUGCUAACCUAGGCAUUUGAAGCUCUAAUAACUUUAUAUGUAAGAAUGAUAGUUGGAAUUUGCACUAAUAUUUAAAAACAUGUUGAAUCAUGCUUUUUUUCACACUUACUGUAAAACAUAUAAAUCUUGUUUCUGUCCUCUGUCAUUACAGGUCUGGCUCUUGUAACUGUGACCAGACUGUUCGUUUCUCUGUCUGCUACAUUUGUGUCUCCAUCCAUUUUUCCUACCGCCUCCUGAAGGCUAUCUGAUAGUCGCAUUAGCAACGCCAAGCAGCAAACAGGAAAGAUAAGAAAUUCGCGUUUUGUAUCAUUUUCAGUUACAUCUGAUAAGACCUCCAGCAGGCUUUAGGAAGUGUUCAUAUAUUUUUCCAGUCACUUUGUCAUUUCGAAUUGAACUCACCUGAUGAAGGUUCAAUGUUCUGUGGCCAGAAUUUGUUUUAGAUCACCUUCUUGGAGACCUUAGAUCACUGUGUUUUGAAAUCAGGAGUUUGCUUUUAACUUCAUAGGGCUAACUUUAAAAUGAUAUGCACUGCUAACUCUAAAGCAUUUGCUGUAGAUAAUUAAACUUAGAAGUGCCUUUAACAUUAAGAUACAAAUUAUUACAGAAGAAACUAUAAUUUUACUUCUAAAAUUGGGGUGUGAAAAUCCCAUUGCAUAUCGGAAAUAGGCUUUUCUUAUUAAGCUUCAUAACCAGGAGUCCCCAAAGUCCUGUUCCUCUGAAAGCAACUGGGGAGUGGCCUGUGGGAUGCCGAUUCCUCUGAGAGGUUAGUGGUGUAGGCAGGAGAGUGCACCUUCAGAAUCAAGGCUUGCUGGGAGGUGUGCUGGGCUCGGCCAUCAGUCUUUCUAACAUGGUAAACUAUUGCCGGCACUUCUUCUUGGAAAUAACUAAUGAGGUCAUGAGUUGGGCGCCUGCACAGAUACUCUCCUUCUCUCAUAGCUCCUAAUGCUUAGGAAUACAGGAUAAAUAAAAAUGGAUUCUCUCAGAACACUGCCAUUUGAAUAAAUAGGGAGAGAAGUGCUCCCCAACCCUCCAACUUUUGACAGCAGUGUUGAGAAUGAGCAGACAGUUUGCUGGAUCUGAAACUCCCUAGUUUCCAAACUGUGUGACAGGAGCCUGCCCACCAGGGUAGAGGGCAAAGCUGAAGCUUACAGCAGUGAGACGGGGGGCACCACCUCCCCCACACUCCUUAUUCCCUGCUGAAAACAUGGAUGCUUUCAAAUUUGUUCAUUUCUUAAACUGCCAUCCUAAGAUACGGAAAAUCGUUAUAGUACAACUGUUUGUCGUUAUCAGUAUGAAAUCAUCUGCAGGAACACGGUGAUGGAAGAUGUGAAGGUGUCUUCUCCAUUCCGUACUUCUGUGUCAUCCAUGGGACGUUUCUGCCUGCCCUCUAAUCACAGCUUCUGCAGUUCGUCCAACCAGAUCAUCUGCUUAUGUGAAAGGCGAUCACUGGGGCCUUUAACUUCCACCAGCUGUAAGAGAGAUUCUUAAAAGUUAGUAUCCUACUGAAACUGAAAAGCCAUCCAAAGUAAGUUACUGUACUUUUCACUGACAACGAUUUAAAUGGCUCUUCUGCUUUCUCACUGUCUUUGUAACACAAAUAUACAAAUGCUCCUUCACUUAGAGUGGUUCACCUUAGGAUUUUUUGACUUUAAAAUGGUGCAAAAGUGACGCAUUCAAUAGAAACCAUGCUGAGUUUUGAUCUUUUCCCAGUAUGAUACUUGAUGCUGGGCAGCAGCAGUGAGGCACAGCUCCCAGUCAGCCACACGAUCAUGAGGGGAACCAGUACUCUACGGUGUGCAGAGAACUUGAUGAUUCUGCCCAGCUGUAGGCUGAUGCAUGUGUUCUGAGCACAUUGAAGGUAAGCUGAGCUAAGCUAUGAGGUUUUGGUGGGGAUAAGUAUGUUAAACGCAUUUUCAACUUAAAUUUUUCUGUUGAUGUGUAGGAUUUAUCAGGGCAUAUCUCUAUCACAAGUUGAGGACCAUCUGUAGCUAAGAAAUUUAUUCAGAAAUGUUUCUAUUCUAUAGAAACUACACAGUUCUUCACAGAAGAACAGUUAAGUGCAUUCUUAGUAUAGCAAACGAAAAAUUGUUUUAAGGCAUCUGGGUUUUACUUUGCUACUUAAAACCUUCCAGUUACCUGUUACAUUUUCAAUUAGAUCUCAACUUCUUGCCAUGACCAGUCUCUUCCCUACCCAAGGCCCUCACUUCCACUUGGUACUUGCUGUUCCCACUGCCUGGGACAUUUCGCCCUGUUCUUGGCAUGCCUGACCUCUUACCUUUAAAUGCUCAGCUUAAACUCAUCUUGAGAGGUCACAGCUCUAAGUAGAUCCUCCCUAAGCAUUUCUUUCAUGGCGUUCAUAACAUAAAAAUAUGUACAUGUCAUCUUCAUAAUGGCAGCAAUUGUGUGUUGUCCACUGCACACUAGUAGAAGACAAUAAAAACUAUCCUAAAGUGUAGAAAAAACAUAUUUUAAAUACAGCAUUCAGCAGCCUAACAGACAUUUAAUUAGAGUCCCCAAAGGAACAGAAGAAAAAAACAGCCAAAGUUUUUCCAGAUUUGGAGAAAACUAUAAAUUUAAGGAUUCAAGAAAAUCAGUGAAUCCCAGCCCCCAAAUGUAACAGGACCCUAGGAAAUAUCAGACCUGUAUAAUCAGCAAUAGAGGGGAUACAGUCAAAGCAGCAAGAAUGUAUUUUUAUUUUCAUUUUCAUUUUUCUAAACAUAUCUUUAGGUCUACCAUAUUGGCUUUUUUUAAUAUAUUAUUGUACUUUAAGUUCUGGGGUACAUGUGCAGAUCUUGCAGGGUUGUUGCAUACGUACACACAUGCCAUGGUGCUUUGCUGUCUCCAGCCCCCGAAUCACCUACAUCAGGCAUUUCUCCCAGUGUUAUCCCUCCUCAACCUCCCCGCAGUCCCUCCCCUGUCCCUUCCUUGUCCCUCCCCCAGCCCCCAACCCCCCAACAUGCCCCAGUGUGUGAUGUUCCCCUCCCUGUGUCCAUGUGUUCUCACUGUUCAACACCUGCCUAUGAGUGAGAAUAUGAGGUGUUCAGUUUUCUGUUCUUUUGUCAGUUUGCUGAGAAUGAUGGUUCCAUGUUUGAUCCAUGUUCCUACAAAGGACACGAACUCAUCGUUUUUUUGGCUGCAUAGUAUUCCAUGGUGUAUAUGUGCCACAUUUUCAUUGUCCAGUCUAUUAUCAAUGGGCAUUUGGGUUGGUUGCAGGUCUUUGCUAUUGUAAACAGUGCUGUGGUGAACAUACAUGUGAAUGUGUCUUUAUAAUAGAAUGAUGUAUAGUCCUUUGGAUAUAUACCCAGUAAUGGGAUUACUGAGUCAAAUGGAAUUUCUAUAUCUAGGUCCUUGAGGAAUCGCCACACUGUCUUCCACAAUGGUUGAACUAAUUUACACUCCCACCAGCAGUGUAAAAGCGUUCCUAUUUCUCCACAUCCUCUCCAGCAUCUGUUGUCUCCAGACUUUUUAAUGAUCGCCAUUCUAACUGGCGUGAGAUGGUAUCUCAAUGUGGUUUUGAUUUGCAUUUCUCUAAUGACCUAAUGCUCUAAUGAUGAUGAGAAUUUUUCAUAUAUUUCUUGGCCUCAUAUAUGUCUUCUUUUGAAAGUGUCUGUUCAUAUCCUAUGCCCACUUUUGAAUGAGUUUUUUUGUUUUUUUCUUGUAAAUCUGUUGUAAAUUCUGGAUAUUAGCCCUUUGUCAGAUGGGUAGAUUACAAAAAUUUUUUCCCAUUCUGUUGGUUGCCAGUUCACUCUAAUGAUUGUUUCCUUUGCUGUACAGAAGCUCUGGAGUUUAGUUAGAUCCCAUUUGUCUAUUUUGACCUUUGCUGCCAUUGGCUUUUGGUGUUUUAGUCAUUAAGUCCUUGCCUGUGCCUAUGUCUUGAAUGGUAUUAUCCAGGUUUUCUUCCAGGGUUUUUAUGGUGUUAGGUCUUAUGUUCACAUCUUUAAUCCUUCUGGAGUUAAUUUUAGUAUAAGGUGUAAGGAAGGGGUCCAGUUUCAGCUUUUUGCACAUGGCUAGCCAGUUUUCCCAACACCGUUUAUUAAAUAGUCAAUCCUUUCCCCAUUGCUUGUUUUUGUCAGGUUUGUCAAAGAUCAUAUGGUUGUGGAUGUGUGGCAUUGCCUCCAAAGCCUCUGUUCUGUUCCAUUGGUCUAUAUCUCUGUUUUGGUACCAGUAUCAUGCUGUUUUCAUUACUGUAGCCUUGUAGUACAGCUUGAAGUCAUGUAGCAUGAUGCCUCCAGCUUUGUUCUUUUUGCUUAGGAUUGUCUUGGCUAUGCAGGCUCUCUUUUGGUUCCCUAUGAAGUUUAAGGUGAUUUUUUACAGUUCUGUGAAGAGGGUCAUAGGUAGCUUGAUGGGGAUAGCAUGGAAUCAUUAUAUUAUUUUGGGCAGCAUGGCCAUUUUCACAAUAUUGAUUCUUUCUAAACAUAAGCAUGGAAUGUUUUUCCAUCUGUUGUAUCCUUUUUCCUUGAGCAGUGGUCUGUAGUUCUCCUUGAAGAGGUCCUUUAUAUCCUCUGUUAGUUGUAUUCCUAGGUAUUUUAUUCUCUUUGUAGCAAUUGUGAAUGGCAGUUCGCUCUUGAUUUGGCUCUCUGUUAGUCUGUUUUUGGUGUAUAGGAAUGCUUGUGAUUUCUGCACAUUCAUUUUGUAUCCUGAGACUUUGCUGAAGUUGCUUAUCAGUUUAAGGAGAUUUUGGGCUGAGAUGAUGGGGUCUUCUAAAUAUUCAAUCAUGUCAUCUGCAAACAGAGACAAUUUUACUUCCUCCUUUCCUAGUUUGAAUACCCUUUCUUGCCUGAUUGCUCUGGCUAGAACUUCCAGUACUAUAUUGAAUAGGAGUGGUGAGAGAGGGCAUCCUUGUCUAGUGCCGGAUUUCAAAGGGAAUGCUUCCAGUUUUUGCCCGUUCAGCAUGAUACUGGCUGUGGGUUUCUCGUAAAUAGCUUUUAUUAUUUUGAGAUACAUUCCAUCAAUACCUAGUUUCUUGAGACUUUUUAGCAUAAAGGGCUGUUGAAUUUUGUUGAAGGCCUUCUCUGCAUACAUUGAGAUAAUCGUGGUUUUUCUCUUUGGUUCCGUUUAUAUGGUGGAUUACAUUUAUAGACUUGCGUAUGAUGAACCAGCCUUGUAUCCCCCAGAUGAAGCCUACUUGAUCAUGGUAGAUAAACUUUUUGAUGUGCUGUUAAAAUCGGUUGCCGGUAUUUUAUUGAAGAUUUCUGCAGCUAUGUUGAUUAUGGAUAUUGGCCUGAAGUUUUCUUUUUUUGUUGAGUCUCUCCCGGGUUUUGGUAUCAGGAUGAUGUUGGUCUUAUAAAAUGAUUUGGGAAGGAUUCCCUCUUUUUGGAUUGUUGGAAUAGUUUCAGAAGGUGUGGUACCAGCUCCUCUUUGUACGUCUGGUAGAAUUCAGCUAUGAACCCACCUGGACCUGGACUUUUUUUUGGUUGGAGGCUAUUAAUUGCUGCCUCAACUUCAGCCCUUGUCUACUGGUCUAUCCAGGGUUUCAGCUUCUUCCUGGUUUAGGCUUGGGAGGGUGCAAGUGUCCAGGAAUUUAUCCAUUUCUUCCAGGUGUACUGGUUUAGGUGCAGAGUUGUCUGUAGUAAUCUCUGAUGGUAGUUUAUAUUUCUGAGGAAUUGGUAGUGAUAUCCCCUUUAUCAUUUUUUAUUGUAUCUGAUUCUUUCCCUUUUUAUUAAGCUGGCUAGCAGUCUAUUUUGUUGAUCUUUUCAAAAAAACAGUUCUUGGAUUUGUUGAUUUUCUUGUAGGGUUUUUUGUGUCUCUUACCUCUUUUCAUUCUGCUCUGUUCUUAGUUAUUUCUUGUCUUCUGCUUGCUUUUGACAUUUUUGGAUCUUGCUCUUCUAGCUCUUUCAAUUUUGAUGAUAGGGUAUCGAUGUUUGAUCUUUUCUUGCUUCUCGUGGGCAUUUAGUGCUAUAAAUUUCCCACUAGACACGGCUUUAAAUGUGUCCCAGAGACUGUGGUACAUUAUGUCUUCAUUCUCAUUGGUUUCAAAGAGCAUGUUUAUUUCUGCCUUCAUUUCAUUGUUUAUCCAGUCAUCAUUCAGAUGCCAGUUGUUCAGUUUCCAUUUAGUUGUAUGUUUCUUAAUCCUGAGUUCUAAUUUGAUUGCUCUGUGGUCUGAGAGACUGGUUGUUAUGAUUUCUGUUCUUUUGCAUUUGCUGAGGAGUGCUUUAUUUCCAAUUAUGUGGUCAGUUUUAGAGUAAGUGCGAUAUGGUGCUGAGAAGAAUUAUAUUCUGUGGAUUUGGUGUGGAGAGUUCUGUAGAUGUCUGUUAGAUCUGCUUGGUCUACAUCUGCAUUCAAGUCCUGGAUAUCCUUGUUGAUUCUUUGUCUCAUUGAUCUGUCUAAUAUUGACAGUGGAGUGUUAAACUCUCCCACUAUUAGUAGGUCGUUAAGAACUUGCUUUAUGGCCGGGCGCGGUGGCUCACGCCUGUAAUCCCAGCACUUUGGGAGGCCGAGGCGGAUGGAUCACGAGGUCAAGAGAUCGAGACCAUCCUGGUCAACAAGGUGAAACCCCGUCUCUACUAAAAAUGCAAAAAUUAGCUGGGCAUGGUGGUGCGUGCCUGUAGUCCCAGCUACUCAGGAGGCUGAGGCAGGAGAAUUGCCUGAACCCAGAAGGCAGAGGUUGCAGUGAGCCAAGAUCGUGCCAUUGCACUCCAGUCUGGGUAACAACAGUGAAACUCCGUCUCAAAAAAACAAAAAAACUUGCUUUAUGUAUCUGGAUGCUUCUGUAUUGGGCGCAUAUAUAUUUAGGAUCGUUAGCUCUUCUUGUUGCAUUGAUCCUUUUACCAUUAUGUAAUACCCUUCUUUGUCUUUUUGUUCUGUUGGUUUAACGUCCGUUUUAUCAGAGAUUAGGAUUGCAACUCCUCUGCUUUUUUUUCUCUCCAUUUCAGCAGCCGGAAUUUUUUAAUGCCAGAGGAAAAAAAGGUUUUUUCAUUGGAAACCAUGCUAGUUAGACUAAUAUUAGUCUAAAUAUAGUAGACAGAUAUUUUUCAGUACUUUAAAAAUAUUAGUCAACAUAGAAUUCUUUGCCCAGAGAAAAUAUCUUUCCAAAACAAAGGUGAAAUAUAGACUAAGACAUACAAAAACUAAAUACAGUCAUUCCUCAGUAUCCAUGGAGGACUGAUUCAAAGAACUCCUCUGAAUCCAAAAUCCACAUGGUCAAGUCCCUGGUAUAAAAUGGCACAGCAUUUUCAUAUUCUAUGCACAUCUUUUCAUAUAUUUUAAAUCAACUCUAGAUUAUUUAUAAUACCUAAUACAAUAUAAAUGCUAUGAAAAUAGUUGUUAUGCUGUAUUUUUAUUUAUUGUUGUAGUUACUUUUUAUUGUUUUUCUUUUUUCCAGUUAUUUUCAAUCCAUGGUUGGUUAUAUCUACAGAAGCAGAAACCAUGGAAACAGAGGGCUAACUACUGUAAUUCGUUACCAGCAGAACUUCAAGAAAUGUUAAAGGAAAUUUUUUUUUUUGAGACAAGGUCUUAAUUCUAUUAUUGGUAUGAUCUCGGUUCACUGCAGCCUUGACCUCCCAGGCUCAAGCAAUUCUCCCACCUCAGCCUCCCAAGUAGCUGGGACUACCAAUGCACACCACCACACCUGGCUAAUUUCUUUAUUGUUUUGUAGAGAUGUGGUUUCACUGUGUUGCCCAAGCUGUUCUCCAACUCCUGAGCCCAAGUGUCUACCCACCUCGGCCUCACAAAGUGCUGGGAUUACAGGCAUGAAAGGAAAUCCUGCAAGCAGGAGAGUAAGAUCACACAGAAAUCUGGAUCUAUACAAAAAAGCACUGGAAAUGCUAUCUGCAUGAGUACAUAGAGACUCUUACUAAUCAAUGGUAGAAAGCAAAAAGAAUAUGUUACAGAAUGUCCAACACACAGAAGUAAAACAUAUGAAAAUACCACAAAGGCUAGGAGGGAAGAUAUUACUGAAAGGUUCUUUUUACUCUGUAUUAAAAUGUGGAUCACUUGAAGGGUAGCUAAGUUUAAGAUAUAUACUGUACAUAUUAAUGCCACCACUUACACACAAUGAACAGUUACAGUUAACAAGCCAACAAAGCUAUAAAAUGCAAUCUUUAAAAAUAAGGCAGGGCCAGGCACUGUGGCUCACACCUGCAAUCCCAGCACUUAGAGAGACCCUGGCAGGUGGACUGCUUGAGCCCAGGAAUUCAAGAUCAGCCUGGACAACAUGGUGGAAUCCCAUCUCUCUCUAAAAAAUACAAAACUACAAAAUUAGCCAGGUAUGGUGGUGUGCGCCUGUGGUCCCAGCUACUCAAGGAAAAGACGGUUUCAGGAUUUAAAGCUAAGGAUAUGAAUAACCACAUUAAAUGUAAAUGUUCCAAACACCCCAUUAAAAGGCAGAAGUUAAGUUGGAUUCAAAAGUAAGACCCAACUCUAUGAUGCCUCUAAGAGAGAUGCCUAUAACCCACGUUAAAAACAAGAUAAAACAGGUCAAAGUAAAAGAACAGAAAAAUGUAUCAUGUUAACACUAACCAAGAGGAGGCUGAAGUGCCUACAUGUUAACAGUAUUGGGCAAAGUUGAUUUCAGAGCAAAGAUCAUCAGGAAUAAAGGGGGGGGGGGUCAUCAAGAGGACAUGCCAGUCCUAAAAGUUAAUGCAUCUUAUAAUAGACCUUCAAAAUACUUGAAUAAAAUAUUGAUAGAAAUGCGAGAAGGAAUACACAAAUCGGCCAGGCGCAGAAUGCUCCCACCACUUUGGGAGGCCAGGAGCCCAGGAGUUUGAGACCAGCCUGGGCAACAUUGUGGAACCCCAUCUCUACAAAAAACUUUUAAAAAUCAGCUGGGCAUGAUGGUGCAUGCCUGUAGUUCUGGCUACUCAAGAGGCUGAGGCAGAAGAAUUGCUUGAGCCUGGGAGGUCAAGGCUGCAGUGAUCCAAGAUCACACCACCACUACACUCCAACCUAGGUGACAUGAGACUCUGUCUCAAAAAAUAGAAAUAAAGAAAUAAAUGAAUCCACGGUUUUAAUCAGAUUGUCAAUAUUCUUCUCAAUAAUUUAUAGAACAAGUAAAUAAGAAAUCAGUAAGGACAGACAACUUAAACAACACUAUCAAGCAACUUGACCUGACUGACAUUUAAAAAUACUGCCCACAACAAAUGCUGAACACAUUCUUUUCAAGUACAAACAGAAUAUUCACCAGGGAAAACCAUAUUCUGGACCAUAAAACAAGUCUCAAUAAAUUUAAUAGGAUUCAGGUCACACAAAAUAUGUCCUCUGACUACAAUGGAGUUAAAUUACAAAUCAAUAGCAGAAAGAUACCUGCAAAUCUCUUAAGUGUUUGGGAAUGUAAAUGAUUGACUUGUAAAUAAGCUGAGGAUCAAAGAAGAGUCCAAAGGGAAAUCAGAAGGGGUGAACUGAAUGAAAAUGAAAACAUAUUAAAUUUGCGAGGUUCAGAUAAAGCAGCACUGAGAGGCAAAUUUGGAGCACUAGCAAACUAUUAGAAAAGGAGGUCUCAAAGCAAUAACCAUAGCUUCUACCUUAAAAAACUAGGGGACAAAAGAACAAAUGAAAUCAAAAGCUGAUUCUUUGAGAAAAUCAGGAAAAUUGAUAAACCUCCUGCCAGACUCAUCAAGAAAAAAAGAGAAAAGACACAAAUUACCAAUAUCAGGAACAAAAGCAUGAUAGAGUUUACAGAUAUUAAAAUGCAUUAAGAAACAAAUACAGGGUUGGGCGGGUGGCUCACCCCUGUAAUCCCAGCACUUUGGGAUGCUGAGGCAGGUGGAUCACCUGAAGCCAGUAGUUCAAGACCAGCCUGGCCAACAUGACAAAACCUCAUCUCUACUAAAACACACACACACACAAAAUUACCCAGGCAUGGUGGUGCACAGCUGUAAAUCCCAGCUACUAGGGAGUCUAAGGCACAAGAAUCACUUGAACCCAGGAGGUGGAGGUUGCAGUGAGGCUACUGCACUCCGGCCUGGGUGACACAGUGAGACUCUGUCUCAAAAAAAAAAAGAAGAGAAAAACAAAUAUGAACAACUUUAAGCCAAUAUUUAAA